UGGCGGACGGGUGAGUAAUGUCUGGGAAACUGCCCGAUGGAGGGGGAUAACUACUGGAAACGGUAGCUAAUACCGCAUAACGUCGCAAGACCAAAGAGGGGGACCUUCGGGCCUCUUGCCAUCGGAUGUGCCCAGAUGGGAUUAGCUAGUAGGUGGGGUAACGGCUCACCUAGGCGACGAUCCCUAGCUGGUCUGAGAGGAUGACCAGCCACACUGGAACUGAGACCCGGUCCAG
rnacentral:rRNA from 1 species